UUUGGGACGAUAAUGACGGUACCAAAGGAGGAAGCCACGGCUAACUACGUGCCAGCAGCCGCGGUAAUACGUAGGUGGCGAGCGUUGUCCGGAUUUACUGGGCGUAAAGGGUGCGUAGGCGGAUGUUUAAGUGAGAUGUGAAAUACCCGGGCUUAACUUGGGUGCUGCAUUUCAAACUGGAUAUCUAGAGUGCAGGAGAGGAGAAUGGAAUUCCUAGUGUAGCGGUGAAAUGCGUAGAGAUUAGGAAGAACACCAGUGGCGAAGGCGAUUCUCUGGACUGUAACUGACGCUGAGGCACGAAAGCGUGGGUAGCAAACAGGAUUAGAUACCCUGGUAGUCCACGCCGUAAACGAUGAGUACUAGGUGUAGGAGGUAUCGACCCCUUCUGUGCCGCAGUAAACACAUUAAGUACUCCGCCUGGGAAGUACGAUCGCAAGAUUAAAACUCAAAGGAAUUGACGGGGGCCCGCACAAGCAGCGGAGCAUGUGGUUUAAUUCGAAGCAACGCGAAGAACCUUACCUGGACUUGACAUCCCCUGAAUAACCUAGAGAUAGGCGAAGCCCUUCGGGGCAGGGAGACAGGUGGUGCAUGGUUGUCGUCAGCUCGUGUCGUGAGAUGUUAGGUUAAGUCCUGCAACGAGCGCAACCCUUAUUGUUAGUUGCUAACAUUCAGUUGAGCACUCUAACGAGACUGCCGCGGUUAACGCGGAGGAAGGUGGGGAUGACGUCAAAUCAUCAUGCCCCUUAUGUCCAGGGCAACACACGUGCUACAAUGGGCAGAACAAAGAGAAGCAAUACCGCGAGGUGGAGCCAAACUCAAAAACUGCUCUCAGUUCGGAUUGCAGGCUGAAACUCGCCUGCAUGAAGCUGGAGUUGCUAGUAAUCGCGAAUCAGCAUGUCGCGGUGAAUACGUUCCCGGGCCUUGUACACACCGCCCGUCACACCAUGAGAGCUGGCA
rnacentral:rRNA from 1 species